GCGGUCGUCGUCCAGUCUGGAUCUCUGGAUCCCCGGAGAGGACACUCUAGGACAUCAGCCCUCCACGAGCUUUCGAGGUGAGCUGGUAACCCGGGUUCAAAUCCCGGCGACCGCA
rnacentral:tRNA from 1 species